ensembl:snRNA Gm23042 predicted gene, 23042
GUGCUUGCUUCAGCAGCACAAACUGGAAUGAUACAGAGAAGAUUAGCAUGGCCCCUGCGCAAGGAUGACACACGCACAUUUGUGAAGUGUUCCAUAUUUUU